rnacentral:rRNA from 1 species
GACGAACGCUGGCGGCGUGCUUAACACAUGCAAGUCGAACGGAAAGGCCCUGCUUUUGUGGGGUGCUCGAGUGGCGAACGGGUGAGAAACACGUGAGUAACCUGCCCUUGACUGUGGGAUAACUUCAGGAAACUGGGGCUAAUACCGGAGAGGAGCUCCUGAUGCAUGGGGGGGGUUGGAAAGUUUCGGCGGUUGGGGAUGGAUUCGCGGCUUAUCAGCUUGUUGGUGGGGUAGUGGCUUACCAAGGCAUUGACGGGUAGCCGGCCUGGGAGGGUGGCCGGCGACCUUGGGACUGCGGUACGGCCCAGACUCCUACGGGAGGCAGAAGUGGGGAAUCUUGCACAGUGGGCGGAAGCCUGAUGCAGCAACGCCGCGUGCGGGAUGACGGCCUUCGGGUUGUAAACCGCUUUCGCCUGUGACGAAGCGUGAGUGACGGUAAUGGGUAAAGAAGCACCGGCUAACUACGUG